GUAGGUGGCAAGCGUUGUCCGGAAUUAUUGGGCGUAAAGCGCGCGCAGGCGGUUCUUUAAGUCUGAUGUGAAAGCCCACGGCUCAACCGUGGAGGGUCAUUGGAAACUGGAGAACUUGAGUACAGAAGAGGAAAGCGGAAUUCCACGUGUAGCGGUGAAAUGCGUAGAGAUGUGGAGGAACACCAGUGGCGAAGGCGGCUUUCUGGUCUGUAACUGACGCUGAGGCGCGAAAGCGUGGGGAGCAAACAGGGAUUAGAUACCCUGGUAGUCCACGCCGUAAACGAUGAGUGCUAAGUGUUAGGGGGUUUCCGCCCCCUUAGUGCUGCAGCUAACGCAUUAAGCACUACGCCUGGGGAGUACGGCCGCAAGGCUG
rnacentral:rRNA from 1 species